GAAUUAUUAGGCAAUUCUUUUUUUUACAGAUGAAAUGAGCCAAAAAAGAGUUGUAACUCAGACUGAAAAGUCAAAAAUUAUUAAAUCCCCAUGAGAAUUAUUCAAAACUAUUGCAAUACAGAAAUUGACAGGUGGAGAAAAGACACAAGUUAACUGCAAAAGAAUUAAGAAUUAAGACUUUUCAGAAUAGAAGAUGGAAUAAAAAUGCGCUCCCCAAACUUACUGCCAGAUUCUGGAACAGGGGUCAGGAACCUUUUUUGACCAAAAAGCAAAAUUUUUAUUUUUGGUUAAGAGCCAUUUUUCCAAAAGGGCAUAUAUAUAUGUGCUUGGAAAAUAUCAUCUGAAUAUCAAGUGCCUAAUAAUGAUGCACGCCGUGCAAAGAAUUUUUAAUGAUUUUAUUGAUCUAUAAGCAUUUGUAAAAUAUUUUUGCCGGCAUUACAGCUUGGUCUUCAUCUGUGAGCUUAUCUGUUUUACUGUUACAUCAUGAGUUGUGUAAAUUCAGAUAAAUUUCAUGUCACAGGAUGUCAUAGGUUUAUAAUAAUAAUAAUAAUAAUAAUAAUUUCAAACUCAUUUAAAU
ensembl:lncRNA